CCUACGGGAGGCAGCAGUGAGGAAUAUUGGUCAAUGGCCGGAAGGCUGAACCAGCCAAGCCGCGUGAAGGACGAAGGUGCCAAGCAUUGUAAACUUCUUUUAGCAAGGGACAAAAUCAGGCUCGAGAGCCUGACCGAGGGUGCUUGAAGAAAAAGCAUCGGCUAACCCGGUGCCGGCACCCGCGGUAAUAUGGAGGAGGCGAGGGUUUUCCGGAUUUAUUGGGUUUAAGGGGUGCGUAGGCGGACUGUUAAGUCAGCGGUAAAAGCCCGGGGCCCAACCCCGGCGAGCCGUUGAAACUGGCGGUCUUGAGAUGUCGAGGGGUAUGCGGAAUGCGCAGUGUAGCGGUGAAAUGCUUAGAUAUUGCGCAGAACUCCGAUUGCGAAGGCAGGAUUCCGGCGGCGAUCUGACGCUGAGGCACGAAAGCGUGGGUAUCGAACAGGAUUAGAUACCCGAGUAGUC
rnacentral:rRNA from 1 species